rnacentral:rRNA from 1 species
CGCGUAGGCGGCCGUUCAGGUCAGGUGUGAAAUCCCUUGGCUUAACCAAGGAAUUGCGCUUGAAACCGUUCGGCUUGAGUACAGGAGAGGAGGGCGGAAUUCCCGGUGUAGCGGUGAAAUGCGUAGAUAUCGGGAAGAACACCGGUGGCGAAGGCGGCUCUCUGGACUGUAACUGACGCUGAGGCGCGAAAGCGUGGGGAGCGAACG